rnacentral:lncRNA from 13 species
CUGGAGAGUUUCUCUUUGCAUCCUACUUACUAUGUAUAAAAGUACUUUUAAAGCUCUGAGCACAGUAGGAAUGCCAGUGGUUUUUUUUUUUUUUUUCUCCCUGACAUCCGGGCAAAGAGAAAAAGAAGGAUUCCUAAAGAAAGUGACCCCUUGGCCCAAGGCAGCCUCUUAAUUAAAUCUUCCCGUUAGAACUUUGAGAAAAAGCGGAGAUGAUUGGACUGUGUCAUCUUCCCCUCUGGGCAAAAGUUUUCCAAUUUUGUUUUCUGGUUCUGUUUCUGAUUUUAUCUCCUUUGAUGAUGGUGGGUGCCUGUAAUUCCAGCUACUUAGGAGGCUGAGGUGGGAGAAUCCCUUGAACCAGGAGGUGGAGGUUACAGUGAGCCGAGAUUGCAUCAUUGCACUGUAGCCUGGGUGACAGAGCGAGAAUCCAUCUCAAAAAAAAAAAAGUUAUCUCUAUCUGGAUGGAUAAAGAAGGCUACACAGAUGGACUGAUACAAAUGAGGAAUAAACAAGAUGAGCCUUACUAUUGCCUCAGCUUUCGAUGUGGAGGCAGCCUGAAAGCACACCUCCAGGGGACCAAAUUAAUCCCUUGUAACAUUACUACAAGCCAGAACGAAGUCCACCACUAUGUAAAAGAAUACAGCAACAUCCAACACCCAAGUACAAAAAAAUUCAUGCUCUCCAUAAUCCAACAAAAAAUUAUUAGGUCUGCAAAGAAUCAAAAUAUAAUCCAUAAACAGAAAAAAGAAACCAACUGGUAGAAGUGAAUUAUGAUAAAAAAUAAAAUGGGAAAAUUGAAAUAGAACA